rnacentral:rRNA from 1 species
AUUGAACGCUGGCGGCAGGCCUAACACAUGCAAGUCGAACGGUAGCACAGAGAGCUUGCUCUCGGGUGACGAGUGGCGGACGGGUGAGUAAUGUCUGGGAAACUGCCUGAUGGAGGGGGAUAACUACUGGAAACGGUAGCUAAUACCGCAUAACGUCGCAAGACCAAAGAGGGGGACCUUCGGGCCUCUUGCCAUCAGAUGUGCCCAGAUGGGAUUAGCUAGUAGGUGGGGUAACGGCUCACCUAGGCGACGAUCCCUAGCUGGUCUGAGAGGAUGACCAGCCACACUGGAACUGAGACACGGUCCAGACUCCUACGGGAGGCAGCAGUGGGGAAUAUUGCACAAUGGGCGCAAGCCUGAUGCAGCCAUGCCGCGUGUGUGAAGAAGGCCUUCGGGUUGUAAAGCACUUUCAGCGGGGAGGAAGGCGUUAAGGUUAAUAACCUUGGCGAUUGACGUUACCCGCAGAAGAAGCACCGGCUAACUCCGUGCCAGCAGCCGCGGUAAUACGGAGGGUGCAAGCGUUAAUCGGAAUUACUGGGCGUAAAGCGCACGCAGGCGGUCUGUCAAGUCGGAUGUGAAAUCCCCGGGCUCAACCUGGGAACUGCAUUCGAAACUGGCAGGCUAGAGUCUUGUAGAGGGGGGUAGAAUUCCAGGUGUAGCGGUGAAAUGCGUAGAGAUCUGGAGGAAUACCGGUGGCGAAGGCGGCCCCCUGGACAAAGACUGACGCUCAGGUGCGAAAGCGUGGGGAGCAAACAGGAUUAGAUACCCUGGUAGUCCACGCCGUAAACGAUGUCGAUUUGGAGGUUGUGCCCUUGAGGCGUGGCUUCCGGAGCUAACGCGUUAAAUCGACCGCCUGGGGAGUACGGCCGCAAGGUUAAAACUCAAAUGAAUUGACGGGGGCCCGCACAAGCGGUGGAGCAUGUGGUUUAAUUCGAUGCAACGCGAAGAACCUUACCUGGUCUUGACAUCCACAGAACUUUCCAGAGAUGGAUUGGUGCCUUCGGGAACUGUGAGACAGGUGCUGCAUGGCUGUCGUCAGCUCGUGUUGUGAAAUGUUGGGUUAAGUCCCGCAACGAGCGCAACCCUUAUCCUUUGUUGCCAGCGGUUCGGCCGGGAACUCAAAGGAGACUGCCAGUGAUAAACUGGAGGAAGGUGGGGAUGACGUCAAGUCAUCAUGGCCCUUACGACCAGGGCUACACACGUGCUACAAUGGCAUAUACAAAGAGAAGCGACCUCGCGAGAGCAAGCGGACCUCAUAAAGUAUGUCGUAGUCCGGAUUGGAGUCUGCAACUCGACUCCAUGAAGUCGGAAUCGCUAGUAAUCGUAGAUCAGAAUGCUACGGUGAAUACGUUCCCGGGCCUUGUACACACCGCCCGUCACACCAUGGGAGUGGGUUGCAAAAGAAGUAGGUAGCUUAACCUUCGGGAGGGCGCUUACCACUUUGUGAUUCAUGACUGGGGUGA